GAUGAACGCUGGCGGCGUGCCUAAUACAUGCAAGUCGAGCGAACGGACGAGAAGCUUGCUUCUCUGAUGUUAGCGGCGGACGGGUGAGUAACACGUGGAUAACCUACCUAUAAGACUGGGAUAACUUCGGGAAACCGGAGCUAAUACCGGAUAAUAUUUUGAACCGCACGGUUCAAAAGUGAAAGACGGUCUUGCUGUUACUUAUAGAUGGAUCCGCGCUGCAGUAGCUAGUUGGUAAGGUAACGGCUUACCAAGGCAACGAUGCAUAGCCGACCUGCGAGGGUGAUCGGCCACACUGGAACUGAGACACGGUCCAGACUCCUACGGGAGGCAGCAGUAGGGAAUCUUCCGCAAUGGGCGAAAGCCUGACGGAGCAACGCCGCGUGAGUGAUGAAGGUCUUCGGAUCGUAAAACUCUGUUAUUAGGGAAGAACAUAUGUGUAAGUAACUGUGCACAUCUUGACGGUACCGAAUCAGAAAGCCACGGCUAACUACGU
rnacentral:rRNA from 1 species